rnacentral:rRNA from 1 species
GGGUGCGACCAUACCAAAACAAAUGCACCGGAUCCCAACAGAUCUCCGAAGUUAAACGUGCUUGGGCGAGAGUAGUACUAGGAUGGUUGACCCCCUGGGAAGUUCUCGUGUUGCACCCC